GGUGCACUUAGCUGUGCUUAAUUGGGAAUGUGAGUGAGAAUCUCCGACUGUCCCGCAGCUGUGAACUCCGUUAUGCCAUGAAGCAACAUGCCAUUGUCCAUUUGGGCGAGAAGGCGCUUUAGGGUGGAGGAAAGUCAGAAGACCAGCCUUCUAGC
rnacentral:ncRNA from 1 species